CCAAAGGCUCUUUUCAGAGCCACUCAAGACUUCAAAAUUGGAGCUUU
rfam:Mus musculus chromosome 13, GRC primary reference assembly.